GUUAUUUGAGGUGGUAAAUUUCGUUGCGACCACACGCCGAUGGCUUGACAAAGGGAAACCUUGAGAGAUGCAGGAGAUGCGACGCCUGCCAAAUAAC
rnacentral:ncRNA from 12 species